AGUGAACGCUGGCGGCGUGGCUUAGGCAUGCAAGUCGAGCGCGAAAGUACCUUCGGGUAUGAGUAGAGCGGCGUAAGGGUGAGUAAUGUAUAGGCAACGUACCCCUUGGACCGGGAUAGCUGCGGGAAACUGCAGGUAAUACCGGAUGGUCAAGCGAUGUGGCAUCACGAUGCUUGUAAACGGUUGGAUACUUCUGCCGAGGGAGCGGCCUAUGCCCUAUUAGCUAGUUGGUGAGGUAAUGGCUCACCAAGGCAACGAUGGGUAGGCCGGACUGAGAGGUUGGGCCGGUCACACUGGGACGUGAGACACUGCCCACGACUCCUACGGGAGGCUGCAGUCGAG
rnacentral:rRNA from 1 species